GAUGAACGCUGGCGGCGUGCCUAAUACAUGCAAGUCGAGCGAACAGACGAGGAGCUUGCUCCUCUGACGUUAGCGGCGGACGGGUGAGUAACACGUGGAUAACCUACCUAUAAGACUGGGAUAACUUCGGGAAACCGGAGCUAAUACCGGAUAAUAUAUUGAACCGCAUGGUUCAAUAGUGAAAGACGGUUUUGCUGUCACUUAUAGAUGGAUCCGCGCCGCAUUAGCUAGUUGGUAAGGUAACGGCUUACCAAGGCAACGAUGCGUAGCCGACCUGAGAGGGUGAUCGGCCACACGGGAACUGAGACACGGUCCAGACUCCUACGGGAGGCAGCAGUAGGGAAUCUUCCGCAAUGGGCGAAAGCCUGACGGAGCAACGCCGCGUGAGUGACGAAGGUCUUCGGAUCGUAAAACUCUGUUAUUAGGGAAGAACAAAUGUGUAAGUAACUAUGCACGUCUUGACGGUACCUAAUCAGAAAGCCACGGCUAACUACGUG
rnacentral:rRNA from 1 species